rnacentral:rRNA from 1 species
AUUGAACGCUAGCGGGAUGCCUUACACAUGCAAGUCGAACGGAGUGGCGAACGGGUGAGUAAUGUAUCGGAACGUGCCCAGUGGCGGGGGAUAACUCCGCGAAAGCGUAGAUAAUACCGCAUACUAUUGGAGCGGCCGAUAUCGGUUUAGCUAGUUGGGGGGGUAGCGGCUCCACAGGACGACGAGCCGAAGCUGGUUUGAGAGGACGACCAGCCACACUGGGACUGAGACACGGCCCAGACUCCUACGGGAGGCAGCAGUGGGAAAUUUUGGACAAUGGGGGCAACCCUGCGCGAGCCAUCCCGCGUGUGCGAUGAAGGCCUUCGGGUUGUAAAGCACUUUUGGCAGGAAAGCGGUACCUGAAGAAUAAGCAACGGCUAACUACGUGCCAGCCGCCGCGGUAAUUC